GACGAACGCUGGCGGCGUGCCUAAUACAUGCAAGUAGAACGCUGAAGGAGGAGCUUGCUUCUCUGGAUGAGUUGCGAACGGGUGAGUAACGCGUAGGUAACCUGCCUGGUAGCGGGGGAUAACUAUUGGAAACGAUAGCUAAUACCGCAUAACAGUAGAUAUCGCAUGAUAGCUGCUUAAAAGGUGCAACUGCACCACUACCAGAUGGACCUGCGUUGUAUUAGCUAGUUGGUGGGGUAACGGCUCACCAAGGCGACGAUACAUAGCCGACCUGAGAGGGUGAUCGGCCACACUGGGACUGAGACACGGCCCAGACUCCUACGGGAGGCAGCAGUAGGGAAUCUUCGGCAAUGGACGGAAGUCUGACCGAGCAACGCCGCGUGAGUGAAGAAGGUUUUCGGAUCGUAAAGCUCUGUUGUAAGAGAAGAACGAGUGUGAGAGUGGAAAGUUCACACUGUGACGGUAUCUUACCAGAAAGG
rnacentral:rRNA from 1 species